GACGUAGGGGGCAAGCGUUGUCCGGAAUCAUUGGGCGUAAAGAGCGUGUAGGCGGCCCGAUAAGUCCGCUGUGAAAGUCCAGGGCUCAACCCUGGAAUGCCGGUGGAUACUGUCGGGCUCGAGUCCGGAAGAGGCGAGUGGAAUUCCUGGUGUAGCGGUGAAAUGCGCAGAUAUCAGGAGGAACACCAAUGGCGAAGGCGGUGAUCUGGGCCGACACUGACGCUGUAGAGCGAAAGCGUGGGGAGCGAACAGG
rnacentral:rRNA from 1 species